rnacentral:rRNA from 1 species
AUUGAACGCUGGCGGCAGGCCUAACACAUGCAAGUCGAGCGGAUGAAGGGAGCUUGCUCCUGGAUUCAGCGGCGGACGGGUGAGUAAUGCCUAGGAAUCUGCCUGGUAGUGGGGGAUAACGUCCGGAAACGGGCGCUAAUACCGCAUACGUCCUGAGGGAGAAAGUGGGGGAUCUUCGGACCUCACGCUAUCAGAUGAGCCUAGGUCGGAUUAGCUAGUUGGUGGGGUAAAGGCCUACCAAGGCGACGAUCCGUAAUUGGUCUGAGAGGAUGAUCAGUCACACUGGAACUGAGACACGGUCCAGACUCCUACGGGAGGCAGCAGUGGGGAAUAUUGGACAAUGGGCGAAAGCCUGAUCCAGCCAUGCCGCGUGUGUGAAGAAGGUCUUCGGAUUGUAAAGCACUUUAAGUUGGGAGGAAGGGCAGUAAGUUAAUACCUUGCUGUUUUGACGUUACCAGCAGAAUAAGCACCGGCUAACUUCGUG